rnacentral:lncRNA from 1 species
AUCCAAAUCUAAAAUACUAAAAUCUACAAACCUUCAAAAAACAAAAAUCUACCAACACAAAAUUCCUAAAAAAUCUUAACAAGUCAAAAACAACAUAGAAACAAAAACCAUCUUCAAACCCUUUUCACGUUCAAACUCAACCUUUCCUUUCAUCAUUACUAUCCAUAUCCAUCUCACCUUCUAACCCAAUCUUCAACCCUUCUCACCUUCUAACCAACCUUCAAAUUCAGAAACAAGAAACAAUAUAAAAAUACCAUCGCAGAUUCAACCCAACAGUUUCCAUUUCUAUUUCGUUUCCGGGUUUAUGUCAUAUCCAUGGCUUCUACCCAUUUUUCAAAGUCAAUCCACUUGACUCAGUUAAGAAUCUCCCUUUUAAGCAACAAAUAGAA